CUAACUGGAGGACCGAACCGACUAAUGUUGAAAAAUUAGCGGAUGACCUGUGGCUGGGGGUGAAAGGCCAAUCAAACCGGGAGAUAGCUGGUUCUCCCCGAAAGCUAUUUAGGUAGCGCCUCGUGAACUCAUCUUCGGGGGUAGAGCACUGUUUCGGCUAGGGGGCCAUCCCGGCUUACCAACCCGAUGCAAACUACGAAUACCGAAGAAUGUUAUCACGGGAGACACACGGCGGGUGCUAACGUCCGUCGUGAA
rnacentral:rRNA from 1 species